GAUGAACGCUGGCGGCGUGCCUAAUACAUGCAAGUCGAACGAAGAUCUAGCUUGCUAGAUCUUAGUGGCGAACGGGUGAGUGAUACAUAAAUAAUCUGCCCAUAUGACUGGGAUAACUAUUGGAAACGAUAGCUAAUACCGGAUAGGUUGAUCGGAGGCAUCUCUGAUUAAUUAAAGUAGGAUUUCUACACAAAUGGAUGAGUUUAUGGCGCAUUAGUUAGUUGGUGGGGUAACGGCCUACCAAGACGAUGAUGCGUAGCCGACCUGAGAGGGUGACCGGCCACACUGGGACUGAGACACGGCCCAGACUCCUACGGGAGGCAGCAGUAGGGAAUUUUCGGCAAUGGGCGCAAGCCUGACCGAGCAACGCCGCGUGAGUGAUUAAGGCCUUCGGGUUGUAAAGCUCUGUUGUAAGGGAAGAACAUUCAGGAUAGGAAAUGAUCUUGAACUGACGGUACCUUACCAGAAAGCCACGGCUAACUACGUGCCAGCCGCCGCGGUAACAC
rnacentral:rRNA from 1 species